GACGAACGCUGGCGGAAUGGAUUAGGCAUGCAAGUCGAACGAUAGUUUUCCUUUCGGGGAGAAUGACAGUGGCGAACGGGUGAGUAACGCGUGGGGAUCUGCCUUUAAGUGGGGGACAACUCAGGGAAACUUGAGCUAAUACCGCAUGUGGCAGUAAUGCUAAAGAUGGCCUCUAUUUAUAAGCUAUCGCUUAAAGAUGAACCUGCGUACUAUUAGCUAGUUGGUGGGGUAAAAGCCUACCAAGGCGAUGAUAGUUAGGCGGCCUUAACGGGUGGCCGCCCACACUGGGAUUGAGAUACGGCCCAGACUCCUACGGGAGGCAGCAGUCGAGAAUAGUCUACAAUGGACGAAAGUCUGAUAGUGCAAUUCCGCGUGGAUGAAGAAGCAUUUCGGUGUGUAAAAUCCUUUUCUCUAUGAGCAAAGUCUUGAAGGUGAAUAAUUUUUAGGAUAAGAUAUUAGUAGAGGAAUAAGCCUCGGCUAACUCCGUG
rnacentral:rRNA from 1 species